rnacentral:rRNA from 1 species
UCGGCUUAGAGUUUGAUCAUGGCUCAGAUUGAACGCUGGCGGCAGGCCUAACACAUGCAAGUCGAGCGGUAGGGAAGCUUGCUUCUCACGAGCGGCGGACGGGUGAGUAAUGUAUGGGGAUCUGCCCGAUAGAGGGGGAUAACUACUGGAAACGGUAGCUAAUACCGCAUAAUCUCUAAGGAGCAAAGCAGUUCGUUGCGCUAUCGGAUGAACCCAUAUGGGAUUAGCUAGUUGGUGAGGUAAUGGCUCACCAAGGCGACGAUCCCUAGCUGGUCUGAGAGGAUGAUCAGCCACACUGGGGCUGAGACACGGCCCAGACUCCUACGGGAGGCAGCAGUGGGGAAUAUUGCACAAUGGGCGCAAGCCUGAUGCAGCCAUGCCGCGUGUAUGAAGAAGGCCUUAGGGUUGUAAAGUACUUUCAGUUGGGAGGAAGGCGUUGAUUAAUAUCAACGAUUGACGUUACCAACAGAAGAAGCACCGGCUAACUCCGUGCCAGCAGCCGCGGUAAUACGGAGGGUGCAAGCGUUAAUCGGAAUUACUGGGCGUAAAGCGCACGCAGGCGGUUGAUUAAGUUAGAUGUGAAAUCCCCGGGCUUAACCUGGGAAUGGCAUCUAAGACUGGUCAGCUAGAGUCUUGUAGAGGGGGGUAGAAUUCCAUGUGUAGCCGUGAAUGCGUA